rfam:Cricetulus griseus cell line CHO-K1, whole genome shotgun sequence.
GCUCAGCUAGCUCAGUGGGUAGAACAUAAGACUUUUAAUCUCAGGGUUGUGGGUUCAUGCCCCAUGUUGGGCA